CAGUAGCCACGGUAAUACGAAGGGGGCUAGCGUUGCUCGGAAUCACUGGGCGUAAAGGGUGCGUAGGCGGGUCUUUAAGUCAGAGGUGAAAUCCUGGAGCUCAACUCCAGAACUGCCUUUGAUACUGAGGAUCUUGAGUUCGGGAGAGGUGAGUGGAACUGCGAGUGUAGAGGUGAAAUUCGUAGAUAUUCGCAAGAACACCAGUGGCGAAGGCGGCUCACUGGCCCGAUACUGACGCUGAGGCACGAAAGCGUGGGGAGCAAACAGGAUUAGAUACCCCCGUAGUCCCUGUCUCUUAUAC
rnacentral:rRNA from 1 species